AGGCUUGCACAGGUGCUGCGAUGGCUGUCGUCAGCUCGUGUCGUGAGAUGUUCGGUUAAGUCCGCUAACGAGCGCAACCCUCGCUGUGUGUUAUAUGUGUCACACGGGACGUGCCGGUCUUAAGCCGGAGGAAGGUGGGGAUGAUGUCAAGUCAGCAUGGCCUUUAUAUCCUGGGCUACACACACGCUACAAUGGCCAACACAAUAGGUUGCUAAGCCGCGAGGUGGCGCCAAUCCAUAAAGUUGGUCUCAGUUCAGAUUGUAGGCUGCAACCCGCCUGCAUGAAGAUGGAGUUGCUAGUAACCGCAGGUCAGCUAUACUGCGGUGAAUACGUUCCCGGGGCUU
rnacentral:rRNA from 1 species